UACGUAGGAUCCGAGCAUUAUCCGGAGUGACUGGGUGUAAAGAGUUGCGUAGGUGGCAUAAUAAGUAGCUAGUGAAAUCUGGUGGCUCAACCAUUCAGACUAUUAGCUAAACUGUUAAGCUCGAGACCGUUAGGGGUAACUGGAAUUUCUAGUGUAGGAGUGAAAUCCGUAGAUAUUAGAAGGAACACCAAUAGCGUAGGCAGGUUACUGGGACGGUUCUGACACUAAGGCACGAAAGCGUAGGGAGCAAACGGG
rnacentral:rRNA from 1 species